GCCCCGCCCCGCCCCCCAGCCAAGGACUCGCGUUUUGGCCACAGCUUGUGCUGACAGUGCAUCAGGGGCGCAGCCGUGAGCAGUUUAAGGUGGUCUGUGGAGUGAGCCCCGAAAACGGUUUGCUUCUCCGACUUUGGGUUCUAUGCUUUUAAUUUUGUUCUAGAGUUCAGACACCUUCUAUGAAUGUAACUCAGCUGAGAACACUGUCAAUAGGGCUCAGCCCUUGGUGUCCCCACGUCUCCACUAAUGUCCAGGCCACACGUAACCCCCGCAUGAGCUUCCUCCUGCACUGAGACCAGCCAGAACCGAGCAUGAGACGCUGUCACUCAGACAGAGGGCAUGAGAUGUUCUCAAUAAAACCAUGUUUCACCACCACAGCCUUGCCCAGACUCUCUCUCCUCCUGGGUGUCCCCCUUCUUGCUCGGGAAGAGGUGUCA
rnacentral:lncRNA from 1 species